AUUUAGAGCAAUUAUAUGACCAUUGCUGUGGCCAAAUGAUUGCACAGAAAUUAAUGUGGAAUAAAAAAACCGUCACCAGGGGUUGGAAUGAAACAAUUUUUAAUAUAAAUUUAAAAAUCUUGACAA